GGGAAAACACGUAUUCCCCCGCUGUGCACCGAAAGAGGAGGCCGAGGAGACCCAUUUCAAGUAUUCAAGGUCCUCAAAGAUGCUGGCAGUCAAUCCAGGAGACUUCAGAAUGAACAGUGAAUCGCUCACUGAAAAGGAUGUAGGAAUGCUUUUAAAACUGCAAACAGAAGGCGCUUCCUGACACAAAGGUUUGCUGGAUGAGAUCCUCAGAUUGGUUAACUGCCUCGCAGGAAGUCUUCCCUCCCUUGACCCAGGCUUGUGAAGACACAAGAUAAAACGGCACUCUUUUGGAGAUCAUGAUUCUUCUCCUCACUAGAUGGCUUGAGCAUCUGAAGGAUUUAUGCCAGCUCUUUUAAAACUGAAAGCUUGUUUUCAUCCUUACGGUGUUAUUGCAUG